CCAAGGGCGGCAGCCUACACAUGCAGUCGAGCGGUAGCACAGAGAGCUUGCUCUCGGGUGACGAGCGGCGGACGGGUGAGUAAUGUCUGGGAAACUGCCUGAUGGAGGGGGAUAACUACUGGAAACGGUAGCUAAUACCGCAUAACGUCGCAAGACCAAAGUGGGGGACCUUCGGGCCUCAUGCCAUCAGAUGUGCCCAGAUGGGAUUAGCUGGUAGGUGGGGUAACGGCUCACCUAGGCGACGAUCCCUAGCUGGUCUGAGAGGAUGACCAGCCACACUGGAACUGAGACACGGUCCAGACUCCUACGGGAGGCAGCAGUGGGGAAUAUUGCACAAUGGGCGCAAGCCUGAUGCAGCCAUGCCGCGUGUGUGAAGAAGGCCUUCGGGUUGUAAAGCACUUUCAGCGGGGAGGAAGGCGGUGAGGUUAAUAACCUCAUCGAUUGACGUUACCCGCAGAAGAAGCACCGGCUAACUCCGUGCCAGCAGCCGCGGUAAUACGGAGGGUGCAAGCGUUAAUCGGAAUUACUGGGCGUAAAGCGCACGCAGGCGGUCUGUCAAGUCGGAUGUGAAAUCCCCGGGCUCAACCUGGGAACUGCAUUCGAAACUGGCAGGCUAGAGUCUUGUAGAGGGGGGUAGAAUUCCAGGUGUAGCGGUGAAAUGCGUAGAGAUCUGGAGGAAUACCGGUGGCGAAGGCGGCCCCCUGGACAAAGACUGACGCUCAGGUGCGAAAGCGUGGGGAGCAAACAGGAUUAGAUACCCUGGUAGUCCACGCUGUAAACGAUGUCGAUUUGGAGGUUGUGCCCUUGAGGCGUGGCUUCCGGAGCUAACGCGUUAAAUCGACCGCCUGGGGAGUACGGCCGCAAGGUUAAAACUCAAAUGAAUUGACGGGGGCCCGCACAAGCGGUGGAGCAUGUGGUUUAAUUCGAUGCAACGCGAAGAACCUUACCUGGUCUUGACAUCCACAGAACUUAGCAGAGAUGGUUUGGUGCCUUCGGGAACUGUGAGACAGGUGCUGCAUGGCUGUCGUCAGCUCGUGUUGUGAAAUGUUGGGUUAAGUCCCGCAACGAGCGCAACCCUUAUCCUUUGUUGCCAGCGGUUAGGCCGGGAACUCAAAGGAGACUGCCAGUGAUAAACUGGAGGAAGGUGGGGAUGACGUCAAGUCAUCAUGGCCCUUACGACCAGGGCUACACACGUGCUACAAUGGCAUAUACAAAGAGAAGCGACCUCGCGAGAGCAAGCGGACCUCAUAAAGUAUGUCGUAGUCCGGAUUGGAGUCUGCAACUCGACUCCAUGAAGUCGGAAUCGCUAGUAAUCGUAGAUCAGAAUGCUACGGUGAAUACGUUCCCGGGCCUUGUACACACCGCCCGUCACACCAUGGGAGUGGGUUGCAAAAGAAGUAGGUAGCUUAACCUUCGGGAGGGCGCUACCACUUUGAUAAGGGC
rnacentral:rRNA from 1 species